GAUUCCUUUAGCACCUGAGAUAUAAUUAGUCUGGAUUCUGCUACAUAUGUUUUUUUUCUUCUUUAAAAAUAAAAUAAUGCUUUGUUUUAGUCAGUUUGGGCUGUUAUAACAGAAUACUAUAGAAAUAACUGGGGUUUCUUUCUCACAGUUCUGGAGGCUGGGAGGUCCAUGAUCAAGGGAUGGGCAGAUUUGGUAUCCAGUGAGGGUCUGCUUCCUGGUGUGUAGAGAGCAUUCUUCUUACUGGGUCUUCACAAGGCGCCAGGGGCGGGGAGGUUGGGUGGGGUCUCUUUCAUGAAAAAACUAAUCCCAUUGGUGAGGGCCCCACCCUCAUGACCUAAUCUCCUCACAAAGGUCCCACCUGCUAAUCCUAUCACACUGGGGGUUAGGAUUUCAAUCCGAAUUUUGAGGGGACACAAACCCUCAGUGUACAGCCUGAUUCUUUCUUAGUAUAGGGAUAACAAUGGCUAAAUUUGGAUGUUGCCUUAAACGUCUGCAGGUAUUUCCACGUGCAUUGUCUCAUGUGAUCUGAUCGUUAUGACCACUGGAGAGUUUGGUUGGCCUUAGAGCUGGAUUCUACAAAGCCUGGAGCUUCUGACUUGAUUUUUGAAUACUUUGGCAUAACAUCUUUUCUCCUUGGAGGCCUGGUUUACUACCUUCUCCUCAGUGAAGACUUGAUUCAUUUGCUCCCUAACUCCCACCACAGCAGAGUGGAUCACGCAGCAGUUUAACAACAAAUAUUUGUUGUGCAUCUAAGUUAAGUGGGGCUCUGUGCCUGGCCCUGACAAUAAAAUACCAAAGAAAACAUACCUCGUUUUUGCUCUUGUGAAGUUUUCUCCACUUGGUGCCGUUCCUGAGCCUCUUUUUUUCAAUACAUGCUACUAUUAUUUAUAAUACUUACAUAUUGUUUUGAAAUUACUUAUUUAUGUGUCUCUCUCUCCUAUUAGAUGUGAAUCCUUGAGGGCAAGCACUAUGUCUUAAUCAAGUUUUUCUCCUCAGUACCUGCCUGAGUG
rnacentral:lncRNA from 9 species